GUAUCAACAAGAGAGCGGGACGUCCAAACGCAACCCUCGAUUGAAUCCCGCCUUCGCAACCUCUUCUGUCACUCUCCAAUGACCAAUUUUCUGUUCAAAGUUCCUCUGCGUCUCUUUGCUCAAGAUCUCCAGAAGUUUGCAGGGAACGACACCACAAUUUCCCGCAAAUUCCUCUCUUCUCUGUCUGAAAUCUCUGAAUCAACCAACAAUCGGACGGUCGACUACCUUGUUCAUACCCUUGGAUUCUCCAAGGACUCAGCUCUCGCCGCUGCGAAGCGAAUCCAUCUCAAAACUACUGCAAAUCCCGACUCUGUCAUUGCUCUCUUCAAGGCCUAUGGAUUCACACUGUCCGAUACUGCCAGCAUCUUUUGCAGAAAUCCUAAUCUCCUCCUUGCUGAUCCGGACACAACACUCAAACCUAAGUUUGAGUUUCUCUCUCGAAAUGGUUUCACCGGUCAUGUUCUCGUCGACGUGAUCUCUAGGGACCCUUCAAUUCUUAGAAGGAGUUUGAAGAAGCAGAUUGUUCCGUGUAUUGAUCUUCUCAGAAUUUUUUUUGGCUCUACUGAUGGUAUAGUCUCGCUCUUUUCUGCUAGAGGUGGGACUUGGGUUUUGCGAAACUUUUCAGAAUCUGUGGCUCCCAAUAUCGAACUAUUGAGAGCUAAUGGCGUGCCCGAUUCGAACAUCGCGAAAAUGAUUUGGCUGCGCCCGAGGACACUAGCAAGGGAUGCGGAAGAGUUCAGUGACAUCGUCGAGAAGACGAAGGAAGCUGGUUUUAAUCCUUCGAGCUCGAUGUUUAUUGAUGGGCUGUGUACGUUUUUAGGGAUGAAAAAGGACAAAUGGUUAUCGAAACUGCAUAUUUUUACAAGUUUUGGGUGGUCAGAGGAGCAGUUUCAAUCUCUAUUUCGCAAGCAGCCCAAGAUUAUGAAUUCGUCUGAAGAGCAAAUAAAGAGGGCCUUGGAUUUCUUUAUGAACAAAUUGGACUGGACGCACGAAGAAAUUUGCAAGUACCCAAAUGUACUUCAUCUUAGUUUUGAAAAAAGGGUGGUUCCGAGGUCGUCUAUUCUUCAGCACCUGAUAUCAAAAGGUUUUAUCAAGAAGACAAGUUUUGGCAGGGCAUUUUUUAUUACCGAGGAUAAGUUUUUGGUCAAGUUUGUGAUGCAGUAUCUUUCUGAGGACCCACAUCUACUUGAGAUGUACCAGAAGAAGAUGGCAGUUUUAUAAACGCUUGGAGUGCAAUUUAGAUUCUCGUAAUGCGACCCAAAACUUCAGAUUAGCAUUUUUCUUCUUCCUCGGUGGUCUAAGGUGUUAUUCAUCCAAGAACAUGAACUUCCUGUUAGCAAUGAUAAUUGAUCGUUGGAUUUAAAGAGCCAUUGGACCAAAUCGACUCGCUGUACCAAACCGCUCUACCAGAACUGACCAGACCCGACCCAAUUAGCAGAUUUGGAUCCACUACCCAAAUCCAGACUCGAAGUUUUGAUAUAUUUUCUCAAUGUAGGACCUAAUUGUAGAUCUUUGAACGAAUUGGAAAUUUGUUGAAGACCCGAAACAAUCUCGGGAAGUCUACAACAAGUAGACCAAUGUCGGUGGCGGGAACGUGUGGAGCCGUGCGGCUAUAGUGGAGACCCUAAGAUCGAGUCCUCUUUGUCCAUGUCGUUUUAAUGUCAUUUUGAUGUUUAUUUAGGGAAAACUUGUGCUAUUUUGUAACUGAUUUUCUUUUGAUGUGUUUCCUCGAAUCCCGUUAUGUUUUGGAACUAUUUGGAUUUUAAUGCUUAUCAGAUAACUUUAAUUUUAUUGUGUCUCCCGUUUUAUCAAAUGAAAAUGUUGCAAGACUUUUUAUCCUAAA